CUCGGGGUGGGUCAUCCCUCAGCCCGGAUUGUGAGAGGGCUCAGGCCAGGCCAAGGGACCCCACCGAUGCAAA
rnacentral:pre_miRNA from 1 species